CCGCUACAGGUCACCUUUGUUAUAUCUACAAUAUUCACCACUGAGUCUGCAACUCGUAGAGGAACCUCUUGACUAUUCUUAAUCAUAGUGGCGUUAUAUUGAUAUGACACAGCUUUAUCGGAUGCAUACGGAACAGGGUCCGCUAAUUGUAUAACCAACAGAGAUACCAAUUUAUUGACAUUAUUGUUGUUGCUGCUAUCAAACAGAAUAACUACCCACUCAGAGGUCUUGAAUACAUGCACAAUCACAUUCACAUCAUCUAUAUCCCUUGACUGUUGAAUCUGUAUUACAUUCUGAUCCACCAACUUCUGUAUAUCUCUCUUGACAACCAUGCACCCACGAGGGCUCACGCUACAACUUAUACAACCAUCAUGGUCAUGUUCACAGUCAGUGAUCAAACAUAAAGUUUUAUGCAUUUCCACCAACGACCUACGAAUACGUCGUACAUCAAAAACUCGGAAAUUCCCUGGACAACCGUCCAACAUGUUAAUAGUAGCAUUACCAUGAGUAGGCAACAUAUUAGCUUUCACAUUCGACGCUUUGUCCUCAAAGGACACCAUACCAUUCUUCACAAGCUUUUGCACUUCAUAUUUUAGUGGAUAGCAAUUCUCUAUGUCAUGGCCAGGGGCUCCCUGGUGAAAAGCACAAUGUAAAUCAGGUUUGAACCACCGUGGAAGUGGCUCAGGAAUUUGUGCAGGAUUUCUUGGUUGAAUGAGGUUCUUGAGAACCAAUGACGGGUAUAACUCUACAUAAGUCAUAGGAAUAGGGUCAAAGGAGACCUUCUUCCUCUCAAAAUUUUGUUGAUGAUGAUUAUUGUUGUUGUUGUUGUAGUUCGUUCUUUGUUGUGGUUGUUGUUGAUGUUGUUGUUGAAUUGGAACUGAUUGAUUAGAAUUGUUGGAAAAUACAGGAAUUACUGAUGAAACUUGGUGUUGAUGCUGACGAGGUUGAGAACUUUUUCUGACAUAAGGCCUUCUCUUCCUCCCUACUGACAUUGAAUUAGUUUCUCCUUCCUUCCUCUUGGAGAAACUCCCACCAUACUUCUUGUUGGAUGAUGCUUCUUCCUUAGACAAACGUCCUUCACGGACUCAUUCUUGUAGCCUCAUCCCCAUAUUUACCAUUUCGGUAAAAUCAUUGGGGGCACUUGCAAUCAUACGUUCGUAAUAAAACAAACUCAGCAUAUUCAGGAAGAUCUUUGUCACUUCUUUCUCUUCCAAAGGUAGACUUAUCUGGCCAGCAAGCUCUCUCCAUCUCUGAGCAUACUCUUUAAAUGUCUCCUUAUCCUUUUGAGACAUUGACCUCAACUGGUCUCGAUCAUGCUCCAUAUCCAUGUUUUACUUAUACUUCUUGACAAAGGCCUCGCCUAAGUCAUUGAAAGUACUGACGCUUGCACUGUCCAAACCCAUAUACCACCUCAAAGCAUCUCUAGUCAAACUGUCUUGGAAAUGGUGAAUCAACAACUGAUCAUUAUCAGUCUGAGUAGACAUUUUCCUGGAAUACAUCAUAAGAUGGCUUAGCGGGUAAGUGUUCCCCUUAUAGUUUUCAAAGCUGGGGACCUUGAACUUCAUUGGGAUCUUAACAUUGGAGACCAGGCAGAGUUCAACAGCACUCUUCUCAAACAAAUCUUUUCCUCUCAAGGUUUUCAACUCUUUACGCAUCUCGAGGAAUUGAUCUUUCAUCUCAUCCAUCUUCUCGUAGACAUAUGGACCUUCAGACAGCUUAGAGUGGUAGGUAGUAUCCUCAACACGAGGCAAAGUAUGAAUACUGGAGGAGGCAAUGUUAUGAUCGAGCUAGAUGUCGGCAGAGAUACAAAGGUGGGCGCAUACGCUUCUAGCAUAAAGUUUGAUGGCAUUCCCCAAGGGAAUCCAUUAGGCAUAGAUUGACUGGCAACAACAGGAACAAUCGAGGUAGCAACCUCAGAAAUGACAGUUCUUUGAGGAGGAGGAGUUGCAGGAGUUGGUGAUGACUGGUUAUGUGCAGCAAUAACAAAUUCCAUCAGCAUUGUUAAUCUGGCGAUCUCAUCCUUCAGCUCUCGGUUCUCUUCCUCUAUAUGCUUCAUGAUCCUUGGUUGAUUAGCACGAGUGUUAUAACGGUGAGUCAGCUUGGCGUAUGCACAAAAGAAGAACUGAUAAGACAUCUGGCGGAAGAAAAACCUAUUAUGCAAAUGAUGCAUGAAAUGCUAUAUUUUUUUAUUGUUUAAUUUCAAGGAACAUAUGAAGUCCUAUUUGCAAAUAUGUAUAAUAAUAAUAAUAACAACAAUUUGAUUGACCAUAAAAAUAUCUUUUUAUUCAUAAAAUUUGGAAGGAUCACACUUAGUACUGUCGCGGCUGGAAAAAUGACAGAGUCGCCACCAUCCUUUAUUCGUUACUAAGGAACAGGGAAAUAAUGAUAAAACCUAUAAAUUAAAGGUGAGAUACUGGGUUCGGGAGUCAGUUAAGUAAGGGGAAGGUGUUAGGCACCCCUUACCUCCAUUGUACUCAAUGGGAUCCUCCUUAUUAAGUAAGGGGAAGGUGUUAGGCACCCCUUACCUCCAUUGUACUCAAUGGGAUCCUCCUUUAGUUCGAGGGUUAGUGUGUUUCUAAGGAAAGUUUGCUUUAAUAUUUAUUAAUUGUUUAAUUAUUUGUUUAUUUACAAAAAUGUUUUAUUAUUAUAGUAAGAGAAUCUUUAAGAAAUGUUUUUUAUUAUUAUACUCGCUAGAGUCUUACAACUCUAUGCCUACGUACCCUCAAAUUUAUUGAAGGAUCAGAGUCACGUAGUUCGUCUUGAAAAUGUUGAUUGGUUGAUUAUUUUUAUCCCUUAAAAGUUUUCAUGCAUCGGGACGGAGAAAUAAUUUUAAAAAAUGCCUCAGUACACUAGGGUAAAGGUUGUAUGGUUUGAAACGUCUUUGAAUUGAUUUUUAUCCCUUUAUCCCUUGCAAAAAAUCUUGUUUUAAUUUAUUUAAGAAAAUAAAUUAGGAGUCAUAAUGAUGUAUUAGACAUAACCCUUUAUCCCGAUUUUAUCUCCGAUUUAACCCUUGAAAACUUUAGAGUUUUAUCCCAUAUUGUACCCCAUUGGUUUUGGUUGCAAAAAUAUAAUUUAAUUUGAUUAAAACAAUAAAUUAAAUAAGAUGUCAUACGAUAUAUCCAUUAUCCCGAUUUUAUCCCUAAUUUAUAUCCCCUAAAAACCUCACAAUUAUUCCUAAUUUUAUCCCAUAUUCCUCGAUUUAAUUAAUCAUAAUUUUAAAUCUCUAAUUAGUUAAAUAUUAAUAUUAUAAUUAGUUAAUCGAAUUCCAUUUCCAAUUUUAUUAAUUAAGCCAUAAUUAAAUUAAAUCAAAAAACCCCCAAAAUGAUAUCAUUAAUAAAAAAUAGAAAAUCCUAAUUACUAAUUUAAUUGAAUUAAUCAUAAAGUUUAUAAAUUAAUAAUCAAAAUUAAUAAUAAUGGAAGGUGACUUUUUAUAGAAUUUUUUUUUUAAAAUAACCAGGUUUUUCAAAAAUAAAACGAAAAUAACCAUCUUUUCAAUAAAAUUUCCAAAAUAACCAACUUUGGGAGAGGAUGCACCGGGGGAGUUGGCGCACGCCCCAAAAUAUUAGAGGAGGCGCCAGAUCCCCAAAAUUUUAUUUUUAUAAAAUUAAAAUAUUAUUUUAUACAAUACUUUUUUUAUUAAACAAUUCUUUUUAUAAAAUAAAAAAUAUAUAUUUUAUUUAAUUUUAUUAUAAUGAAUUUUAAAUAAACAUAAAUAUUUUAACGAUCUACGUUCAUAUUUGAUAUGUCGAAUGGAUAUUAUCUAUAUUUUAUAUUUAAUGUUAUAAUAUAAAAUUGUGAUUGUACUCUUAAGAAAUUAAAAUGCAAAUAUUAAAUAAUAUUCUUAACUUAUACAUUUUAAAACAAUGAUAAAAUAAAAUUAAAUAUAUAUUUAGUUAAUUUAAAAUUUUAAAAUAGGUAUACAAGUUCUAAGCGAAAAUAAUUAAGACAAAUAUAUAGAGAUGAAACAAAUUAAUCUAAUGUAAUUAUACAUUAUUUUAAAACUAAGUCAAAAAAAUUUCAACUAAGUUUUAGUAAUGUAUUAAUCUACUAUAAUUAUACACGAUAUAUUAAAUAUAUGAUGAAAUAAAUUAACAUGAAUGGUCUGUGGUGCAGUGGUAACAUAUUUGACUCCUGAUCAAAAGGUUGUGUGUUCAAUUUUUGUUGGCUGCAAAAUUAAAUUUUCUUUUCACAAGCAACACACUGAGGCGCCAGAUGCAUUGACUCCUCCUCCAUGGAGGGUCAUGCAGAUGCUUGUGCGCCACUCCUCUCUCAAAGUUGGUUAUUUUGGAUUUUUUUUUGAAAAGAUGGUUAUUUUUGUAUUAUUUUUGAAAAACCUGGUUAUUUUAAAAAAGAAUCCUUUUUAUAAUAUUCAUUUUUUAUUUGUUACUUUAAUGAUUAUUAAUUUUUGGUAUUUUUAUUAAACUCUAUUAUUAUUUUAGGUAUUUUUAUAAUUUAAAUGAGAAAAUAAUUAUUUACAACAUUGAAAGCUAUAUUUUUGUGUAUUUUUGAAUUAAUAUAGAAAAGAGAAUAUUUUUGGUUUUUUAGGGAACUAAAGAAAUCAUUUUUGUUAUUUAAAUUUAAAUGAAAAGGAAAUAUUUUUUUAUUUAAUAAAUAUCUAAAGAUUUACUUUAGGAUUAUGAUUCUUUAAAUAAAUCAAUAUGUGGUGCAAAUAGCAAUGGUUCUAGAUCCCAAAUAUAAUUACAAAGCCUAAAAAAUAAUUUUAUUUUAUAAAAACUAGUAAGUAAGAUAAAGUAGUACAAAAUAAUAAUAAAAAAGGGAAAGAAAGAAUUAAAUAAAUAAAAAAGGAAAAACAUAAAACGUACACAUAGUAGCAGCGGUGUCCAUUUGCAUAACCAGUAGCAUGUCUUGACCUUUUCCAAAACCAAACUUUCAUAGCCACUCCCAAAUCGACAUGUGGUGGCGAGAUCGGAGACGUUGUGGCGUCGGUUGGAUGGCGAGCAGAGCGGAGGUCACCGACAACGGUUUUUCCGAUGAAGGGUAAUACGCAGUGACUUGUAGCGGUGUCAAUUGGGUGACUCGUGCAGUUAUUGUGUUGAGUCGCAUAGAGAUUCGACGUUGGUCUUGUAGAGAUUUUACAUUGAGUUGCAGUUUCAUUGAUAUGUUUCCUUCUUUUUCUUUUUUUUUUAUUUGUUUUUGUUGUGUGAUGAGUUAUUAUGAAUCCGUUGGUGGUGGUUUUUGAACUUGUGAUAGUUAGUGAAGGUUUGGUUGUGAAUUUACAGAUUUUGUUAUGGAUUUUGUUGGGAAAAAGUGUGGAGAAAAGAUAUGAAGAUGAGAUAUGUUUGGGUAUUGGAAUUUGCUAGUGUGUGUGAGAGAUGUUUUUUUUUCCGUGUAAGUGGAGGGGGAAAAGAGUCAGAGUAGAACCUUUUUUCUUGAAUUUUUUUCUAGUAUUUUGUAGUUUUAUAGUACAUCUCUCCCCUUUUUCACAAUCUGAUAGUUCUCUUUUAUAGUUCUUAAACAAAUCAAAAAAUGAAAUAAAAUCAAUCCCAUAAAGUGGCACAUAAAAAUUGAUUAUUACUAUUUAUUCUUCUUAAAAAUGCAUUUAAACUCACAUUAAUGUGU
rnacentral:lncRNA from 1 species